rnacentral:tRNA from 1 species
GGGAAAAUAGAUCAGUGGUAGAGCAUCGGUUUCUCAACUCAAAGGUCGAGGGUUCGAUCCCCGGUUUCCCCG